GAUGAAGAACGUAGCGAAAUGCGAUAAGUAGUGUGAAUUGCAGAAUUCAGUGAAUCAUCGAAUCUUUGAACGCACAUUGCGCCCCUUGGUAUUCCAUGGGGCAUGCCUGUUCGAGCGUCAUCUACAACCCUCAAGCCCUGCUUGGUGUUGGGCGUCUGUCCCGCCCCCGCGCGCGGACUCGCCCCAAAUCCAUUGGCGGCGGCCCUUGCCUCCCUCUCGCGCAGCACAUUGCGCUUCUCGAGGCGUCGCGGGCCGCGCUCCACGAAGCACGCAAACCAGUCUUUGACCUCGGAUCAGGUAGGGAUACCCGCUGAACUUAAGCAUAUCAAUAAGCGGAGGC
rnacentral:misc_RNA from 1 species